AAGCACACUCUGUGUACAGACAUAAGGAGACACAGAUUGUCUCGUUGCUUAAUUGCUCUCCCCUAUUUGUAAAUGGUCUUUUCCAUGGCUCUUUCAGAUCCACACCUUGACAAAUAUAUUUUCUGUCCAAAUUAGUGGGACUUGUUGUUUAGCAAAGUGCUACCCAGUGUGUCUCAAUCUAGCCACAACUAAGAGGUACACCAGGACUGAGGACCGUGUGGGACAACAUCUGAAAGCACCAAGUGCCAAUAUUUCUGGAGGUCAGCACUGCCAAGAGAUGCUGGUAUUGGCUAUCACGCAGCAAAAAGAAGACCUUUCAGCUCAGUCCUUUCCUUGAGGGAACACCAGGACAAGUCAGAGACACUACUAAAACAGUGGAUUGGGCCGUCCCUGGAAAGGUACCAAUAAACUGUGAUGGACAGCAAAUACUGAUCUGCAGGGGACUAGCUAUGUUUCAAGGUAGCAUUUCAUUUAGGACAUUCUGGUGGUAGAUAUUAACCAAAAGCUGUCUCUCUGCUACUGCCUGAAGUUAAAUGUCCAGAGACAACAGGAACAUGCUGAAAGAGCUGCUAGAAAGAACAACUUUGUUUUUUCAAACAGGAGCUAAUUGGUAUUUUCUGAAGAUUGAAGAUAAGGAAAUAUCAAAUUCCCCUAACUUUCCAUCAGCCUAGAAAAUCCUGUGCAUUUGUGGAAACCGCACACAUACAAGGUGCCUGGAUUUGGCUGCUUUGGCAGUGAGUGCCCAGCAGCUGCUGCCUGUGAAUGCUGAGGAGUUGGCACCCAUUAGAGGAAAUUCAGUAUUAAACACUCUGUUAUCUUGCCCAUGAA